UCCAGUUGGUUGGGGUGACAUAGGUGAAUUUGCACUCAUCUGGUGGCUUGCAGCAUCCAGACUGGCAAGAGUAAAUGAACAGAGAAUGAGAGAGACAACAUAAAAACGAUUUAACUGCAAAUGAACUAAUUUCAAUCUAGUCAUAUAUCUGUGAAGAACCUUUCCAAGACAUCGAGUUUAGGCACAGAAGCUGAAAAUUUUACAGAUUCUUUCACAGAAAUUUGAGGCGUGCAACUAGUACAUCAACCAGGAGACGAUUCUCAAAAUCACAAAAGGAACAUCUUAGUUUAUAACAACCUAGCAGUUCAACAAUGUGUCAAAUGUAUUAAAAACAUGCUUCCAAUUCAAAAAUGGAAAAUGCAAUCAAUCCAAAGCAGGACAAUUUAUGAUUUUACAGCAACAAGUUGAAUGCCAUUAUUCUCCUCUGGAGAUACUUGUUUGAACAUGUAUAAUAGCAAAACAAAAAUUGACAGAAUAAGCAAUAGGGUCAAGUAAAUUGAUAUAUCAUUAUUCUUAAAGGCACCACUUUAUGCACCACACCACUUUUUGCAACAAGAAAUAUAUACAAGCAGCAUCACCAAUCUGUCUCAGACAAAAAGCAGAACAUUUUAAGUCGAGAUUCUAGUCAAGUCUCUCAACUUUAGGAAACUACUCAAUAACCAUCAUUCAAAUAUAACAGAUCCAUGGCAGUUAGUGAUUCCAAGUGAAGAUCAAUACCCUUUCUCAAGAAACUUAAAAAAGUAAAAUUACUAUACCAACAAGAACAAACUACUGACACACAGUCCCAGCCCCUAAAGAUAUCUUCCAAUUGAGUAUCCAGAUCUAGAGCGAGGCAGCAAAAACAGAAAACCCCUUCUCCCCUCAAGUGAAAAACUCAAGUUUUAGCUCAAAAAGAAAAAAGAAUGACAACCAUGCAGGUAUGGAGAGCAACAAAAGAUGCAAUACUUAUGAAUCUGUACAUACCUGAAGAGCAGAAAGCGUUUCCUUGUUAAAUUGUCCUAAAGGAGUGGCACCUUGUUCAAUCAGGUGCUUGCAGAUCUGUGAGUCCUGAAGACAACUUCUAAUCCUGGGCCAAUUUUUGUUCACCCUUUUCUGCAACCAAGUGUUGUAAUCCCCAAGCCUGUACUCCUUAUACCCCUUACCUGCAAGGGCCUCACCAGCACCUUUAUUUGUAACCACAAACGCAAAGAUUGUGAAGCAAAAGAGGAGCACAAUCAACAGAAACAUGACCAAAAGGUACACCCAAAGAAGCCAUGAAACUCUGCAACAUGAUCCAAUGAGUCCUGCCAAUGAAACCAACAGCAGAAACGCCCCCAAUACUAUCACUGGCUUUUCAAGAAAACGUUCACAUUCAGUAUUGGACUGCUUUGCUAGCCAAAUCCCACCUGCAAUUAUUGGGAUUGACAACAACAGCGUCAGAAAAUUCAGUAUCCCAAGCAAACUGUUGCUGCAACGUGGCAUUUUCUCUGGUAUUCUUGAAAACGAACCAAAAAUAUCAGUAACUUCUCAAGAAGCCAAGAAGCAAAAGGGGUGAUUAAACUCCAAUAGUUAUGUGCUUCUUAAUGGUGAACGAACCUAGUUAACGGUGAACAGUUUUACCAGUUUUAUAGUAGGAUCCGAUGGAAAAUUGAUCUGGGUUGGAGCUAAGAAAGCGAGAAUCUGGAAAAUAAAAAGGAAGAUAUGAUGAAUGGAACAAAGGGUAAGGGUGGUUAUAUAAUACUGGUGAAGACGGGCCGUUUAAUUGCAUUCUUAGUCCUCUAAGUUAUCAUUCUAGCCCAUGUAUCACGCAGUACCCUAUUGCGUGUAAUAGAUUCAUUAGCAUUCAUUUUACUAUAUAUAUGAUGAUUGAAUUAACUAAGAUUUAAUUUCACAUAAAUUUAUGUCAUCUUUCAUAAAUUGAUUCUAAUUUUUACUUUUUGUUUGCAUAUUUUUUUGUUUGUAGAGUCAAAGAACAUUUUGUGUAAAUUAUUAGUAGUACAACUUUUUGUUUGGUCAAAAGAAUUUAGAUGGAUUAGUCUUGACUCAAAUGGAGUAUCUAUAUUAGCAGGAGCGAAUGAUCAAUUGUGAUUAAUUAUUAUGCAAUCUACACAAGCAUAUAUAUAUAUAUAUAUAUAUGUUCACAAUCAAUAAAAAAAUUAAUCCAAUUUAGAUGCUUACACAUAUUUAAGAGUAGGAAGGAAGGAAGUGGUAUGGUAUCUCUCUAAUUCAAAGCUGAAAGAUGUAGUCCCCUGUGUUUCAAUAGCUACAAUUGUUUGUAGGUUUAAAUUGACAAAAAUGGAGAAGAUGAGAGACUAAGGUAAGAAAACCCAAAAUGUUGGGGUCCCAAAAUCUGUAUGGGGAAAUGUGAAACUCGUGGAGGUUGAGCUGGUCUGGAAUUUGCUAAGGAGUUUCGGAGACGUGUGGCCGUUUCCGAAAAAAUUUCAGCGUCAAGCGAUAAGCCCAGUGCGCCACGUGUGACACGUCGUACUCGCCGUGUGAAUUAAUUGGACAAUCGCAACAAGGAAUCGAAACGGAUGGGAAAGCGUGGGACCAGACUAGCAAUGCCAAAAAGUGUUUUUCUUUUUCUUUAUCUUUUUUGAGCCCAUUAGAAGCCAAAAAUGUAACAAUAAAAAGUUUUGACGCUAUGGUAGACUUGAUCGUUUUGGCUAGUAACUUAUCUUGAAGGAUGAUGUGACUUUUGAUCAAGAACAGGAACAUUAGAAGAUUUCCAAAAUCUUUAAUUUUAAAUGUCCCUCCCCUUUUACCCCAACCAUUAUUGUCUCGAUGGAAGAUGAUUGAAAAAUACUCUUGUUACGAGUGUUUGGAUUAAAAAAAAGAAGAAGAAGAAGUCUUUAUGAUGUGAUGUAUUUUAUGAUUAAAAAAUGGUUAGAAAGAUUUUUUUUUAGAAAAAAAAAAAAGAAAAACAAUGUUUAUUAUGCAUAGGAUUGAAAAAUAAACCAAAUUACAUGAUAUUUGAAUCAAAUUUGACUUAUUAAGAACUCAUUCAAAUUUGGAUCGCCAACUAGUCAAGUUAAGAUUGAACAGCAUUUUAUAUUCGCCAACAUUUAAAUUCGAUAAAAAAAUUAGUUCAAACUCGAUUUGGCAAAAUAAAUAAGUCAAAUUUGCAUAAAAUUUUAAAUUCAUUAAAAUAAUCAAACAAACUUGAAUACUAGGGUGUUCAGUUUGAUUAGACUAGUUUACACCCCUAAUUAUGCAUGUGAAAAAAAUCUUUUUUUUUUUUUUUGCAAAAAAAGAAUAUAUCCAAAAUCUUCUGGUCACUUAAUCUUUGAGACUAAUAUUCAAUGCUGACUGACUCAAUGCAAUUUAUGAUACAAAUUCAAAUAUCCACUUCAUUUUUUUUUUAAAAAAAGGAGUCUUUAUACUUUAAUUGCCUAAUACCUUCUUGAUUGGAUUAAUUUUGGUCUCACUUAGAUUGCAAUUUUUAAAAUUUUUGAAGAAAAAAAAAUAUAUAUAUAUUCUAACAUUGUGAUGUACGAGAUAAAAAGGUAAUUUAAAAUUAUGUCAAACAAAUAUUCCUAGUCAUUGGAAGUUGAUUUUAAAUAGGAGAGAUUCUACAAGAUCACACACACAAGUUAAAUUUAGCAUUAAAUGUGAAAUAAGUGAUGUUAAAUUUCUAUAAUUUCACAACUUUAAAAUUUCAACUGCUAUUAUCAUUAAGGAAUAGAAAUUGAAGAAAUGGUUCCACGAAGGGACCAUACAAUUUCCCAAAGAUUAGUAUCAAAGUAGGUCCUCCAAAAGAAAGAAAAAGAAAUUGUUUAAAGAAGAAAUAAUUGUUUGUAGCCAUAUAUAUAUAUAUAUUUUUUCUUGUUUUUCUCCUAUUUGAGAAAUUGGACGCCGACUUAUAACUUGAAAUCAGGCGAGUCCCGCGCGCCGUGUCCAUCGUUUAGUAAUAAGUACUAUAAUAAAUGAGUAUGAUGAGCUUACUUGGAAUAUUCCAAAGGCAGAGGCAGAGGAUGAUAGUUACUUAAAGCCAAUCAACUCUCUUUCGUCCGUUUGUUUACUCAAAUUCCUUAUCACACGUUAAGAGGCUUCUUUAUAGUCUCGGGGAGUUAGCUUCACAAUCUUGCUGCCAUCCAAACCUUUUGCCCCUUUUUUUUAUUUGUAAAUCUGUUCUCGGAAUUUUCGUACCAACCCUUUCUUUCUUUCUUGGAGCAUUGAGCAGAUACACCAAAAAGAGUGAGUUGUAAGUAAGUAAUGGUUGAAUUGACCAACACAUGUCGCUUUUGCUUAAACCUGAACCAUCAAUAACGCGUAAUUUAAACCAAACUUUUUAAUACUAAUAAUAAUAAUAGACUGAGCCCUUCUUCAUUUUUAGUCCAUUUUAAGAAAUAUUUUAAUACUUAGCUUCAUAAAUCCUCAACUAAUGUAAAUCAAUAUAAGCAUCAUGGACCGAUUCAAAGGAAGAUAGGAAAUUUCCCUUUUUAUUUUUAUUAUUAUUAUUUCCUCAAAUUGGUUGACGGAUAUAAGAAUUACUAAAUAAUAUUUUAUUGUUCAUUAUGUGUGUCAGACGUUUUAGCCAAUUAAAAAGGCAUAAGUUAUUUAUUAUCCCUAAUUUUGGGGUCAACAAUCAAAAAAAAAAUAAAUAAAUAAAUAUAUAUAUAUAUAUAUAUAUAUGUGUGUGUGUGUGUGUGAUUGCACUUUGUUUGUACUGAAUAUAAUAAUUGCAGCAACGGUUACGUGUUUUUUAUGAAUGAAUCAGUACUUGCAACACAAGCACGCUUCUCAAGUUUACAGUUGUUGUACAUUGGAAAUAAAUACACUACCUUAUUGAUCCAUAACGCUGAAACAAAAACCCACAGAUCAGCAUCAGACAAAAGACCAUGCAAAACUCAGCUCCCAAUGCAGAGACAUGAAGACCUAAAGCAGUUUCAAAAUCAAAGGGGCCCUGGGAAAGUCCCAUUCUCCCUCUGCUCGUUCCAUCUCUCAACCUGUAGAAAUGUAGCAGAAACUAGUUAGAAUGCAUUCAAAACUAUGGUAAAAUGGUAGAAUGUUAUCAUCCUAUUGCAUAUGGUAAAAUAGUAGUCAAAGACGUUUAUAUAAUAUAAUAAACAUAAAAAGUGGGAACGCUGGAAAGCCAAUAAAAGAUUUGGUGUUGUACCACUUGGUAAUUCAAAAAGGCCAUCCCCAUCAGCCAUUUAAUAUAUCUCCCUCAAACAACUAGAGGUUUUCCAUACGCCAUUACUAGAGGUGUCAAGAAGAUAAAACGGGCUGCACAGAAAUUCACAUGAGAGUUGCAAGCAACUUCAAGCUCACAAUCCAAAACUUACUCCGAAAGGAACUAAAACAGAUAGUCAAACAUAAAAGAAAAACCAUAGCUGUUUUUGUUAAUAACGAUUAAGUUUUAACUAUGAUGUCAUGUCACCACCCAAUUCCCGUGUAACAUAAAGGAGCAAUAGUUUCCAAUUGCAAUGCCAUCUCAAGCAGAAUCACACAUGAAAUGGGACUUUUUAUGAGGACAACAGUGCUCAUAUCUGACCUUUUGAAGAGGACUGCUGUCCCCCAAGCCUAUGACAAUCAAUACCAACAUUCAACAGGUAAAAGCAAUUCUACAUAUAUAUAUAUAUAUAUAUAUAUACUUACUUACCCAUUCACCAGGACAGAGGGACCUAUAGUACUUGGCAAAUUUUUCACAUUCUCCAGAAUCAUCACCCUUGGCAGCCAAGCACCUGAAAUCCAAAAAAGUGUUGAAUCUGUGUAAACCAAAUCAUUAUGAUAGACCAACAAAAGCUUUACUGUGCUCUAAAGAGAAAACCAGGCAAGAGUAAAACCUAUAUCAAUUACAUAUUCAACCGAUAGAAAAUCAUCUUGAGUACCAAGAUAAAUAUUUCUGUACUCACUCUUUUCUUUUUCCCCCCCAAACAUCAAACCCUAUUCAUGAGCUUCUAGAUUUAAAAUGUUAGGGAGUAGUAAUCUAGUCAAGUAAAAAUAUUUUAACUUAAUCAGGCACUUUCAAAAGAUAUUUGCCUAAAGGUUUCAGCCUACACCUUCUUAACAAACACAAAACUAACUUAAGAUUUCUCUUUCAACAACUGAGGGCUAGAAUCAAAACUACACAUUACAAUACUUAUAAGAACAAUCAACUGGCUUAAGAUGAGUACCAAGUUAUGAUGCGAUUUCUGUUUGCCACCUUUAAUCUAACAAAAAAAAAAAAAAAAAUCACCCAUGCAUUUGAAAAAAACUUCUACCAUUGCCGAAUUUUGAAUUUGGCUAACUAAACCAACAUAGGGGCAUUAAUACCGUCUCAAGACACCUAAAAUGCAAGAUAAGUUCAUCAAUCAAAACUACGUAAGUUCAAUGGUUUUACCGGAGUUGUUCCAUGACACAGAAAAAAAAUUGGUUUCUAUGACACACUAUUAAGCAAUCAACAGCCACUCAUAUGUAACAAAGUCCAAUGACCAGAAAAGCCUUAUGCAGCCACAACUGACAGAGCAUGUCCUUUUAAGAUAAUUGGUUUUAUGGCAUAUUAUUCAACAACCACUGGUGUGUAACUAGUCCAAUACCCAGAGAUGCCUCAUGCAGCCAAAACUGAUAGACCAUUACCUGUGGAACUCAAUGUAGCGUGUGAAACAGUGUCUAGUUUGAUUAGUUGUUGGGAAUCGGAAGUCAGCUGGUGCAGUCUUCAGUUCAAUCUGACAAUAUUAGCAUACAAAUAUUACUAAGAAGAGUGUAAGACAACUGUUCAACACUAAAUUGCGUCUUCCGCUUUCUCAUCAUAAAUCACACACUUAAUUCACUACAUAAAAUGAAAAGGAAAACUAUCAAAAGUUCAGAGAAGCAAACAUUGUCACUUUAGAAAAAAGGUGAACAAGAAAAGUAUUUUAACAAGUUACUUAAUAGUUAAAAUAUUGAAUAAGCAUGUUUCCACUUAAGACGGCGUUCUCCUCCAUCAUGCUUAGAUUUCAUUGUAAUAUUUCCCAAGACAUCAUAUCCUACCAGAAUUCCAAUAGUUUCGAGGCAGGAGACAUCCACAGCAAGAAUACAUAGUUUUGACCCGAUUGUAAUUAUGAGCUAAAUCAUGCUUUGCAUGCUAAGAAGCUCUAGCCUAGGCACAGAUAAAACAUCUUUUCUCAGAAUUAAAAUUUCAACACAUCAUAAUCAUGAGAUAGAAGACAUUAAGCGUGUUCAGAACUAAGGCUUUCAACAAAACUGGAUGCACUUCCAUGCUUUUUUGAAUAAGAAUGUCCAAUUGAUAAAGAAAGAAUUUUUUGAACAGGCAACUUUCAAAGAAUGAAUCAAUAAAAUCACAACCUCAAGAAAACCUAAUUCCUGCAUAUGACAGUUCUAUUCUGAAAUCAAAAAGAAGGAAAAAAAAUUCACUCUUGAGGCUAAAGGACAGGCCCUCAGGCAUUAAAGGUCAGACGAAAGAAAAAUUGUUUGUGUCUAUUGUGGCAAAUGAAAAAUACUUUAGCAGCAGACCUCACACACUCUGACAUGAGAUAAGCACCUCACACACUGUGAAAUGAGAUACUAUUUGGCCCAAAGGACUAGAAAUAAAAGUGCAUUUACACAAAGGGCCAGCUAUGGCUCCCUUUAGCUGUCAACAAGACUAGAUAAAGAAAACAUUUUACAAUUGAGUCAAGAAAAGUAAACCACAAUUUACGUUCUCUUUCUAUAAACAACUAUUUGGCUAAAAAAAAUUAACAAAUAUAAACCACAACCAACAUGCUCUAUGAUGAGCAACCAUUUGGCCAAAUAAUUAAUAAGUAGACCAUCUGGAAAUGAAUAAAGCCUAGGUAUCGGAACCAGUAACUUAAAAGAGCAGGCAAGGAUAUAGAGAUCCCCAGAGUAAUAUUCCAAGAAGGUAGAUUUCUUCUCUCAGUCUGUACUAAAGAAGAAAGUCUACUUCAAUCCUUAUAUCACCAUGAAAAGAGAAGGGGGAGUCAACACCAAACUAUGUCACCUUAUAGGGAUUUUAGGCUGGAUUUUGAAUUUUAAUCUGCUUAGUAUCCUCAUAGUCAUGAGAGAACUUAAACUAUGAAAGCUCUUGCUUGGCUAUUGGAGAAAGUGGGAAAGAAGGCAUUCUGUCUCUUGGUAUGGAACCCCACAUUCACCUGUAAUCUGAAACAUUUUCAAGUAUGACAAUUAAAAUACAGAGCUUUGAGAGCAUAGAGAACCAAUAUGGGAUUAGCUACAACAACCCAAUUUUCCAUCAGCAUUAGGAGUACACAAUUCUUCCCUUCAUGUAUGGAUACUCAUAAGAAAAUCUUCCUGACUUGAUAUAUUAUACAGAUGGAACAUUGGGGGCACCCGUGGAUGGGGUUUUCUUGUUUUUUUCGUUGGGGGGGAGCACAAAGAAAAGAAGGAAAGAAAUAUUAAAAAGUUUACAAAGAGAAAGAAGGAAAACAAGUCUUUUAGUAAUUUCCCAUAUCAUAUCUCAAAUUCCAAACAUCCACGUAGCAGGACAUUUCCCUUUCCUCAAUAAAUUUACUAUCAAAGGAAACCCAAACUAAAUAAAGGCACAAACUUUUCUCUAAGAAAAACAUAAAAGCAAAUGUGCACAACAUCCAACUAACUCUAUGGUUUUGUUAUAAAAACAACUCCAUCAUCCUUUCAUACAGCUGCUUGCUUUCAACAAGAGUCCGUUCAGAUUUGAUAGCAAUGUAUUUCUUUACAAAUACUUUGCUUUUAGGCCUCACUAGGUUUAAACUUUUCAGAAAAGCUAUACCAACAAUCACUUUUUAAUACCUCUCAAUAUCAGCAAAAUUCAGUACAUUUCACGUUAAAAGAAAGCACUGCACCUUUUCUGAAGCUGUCUAUUUAUACUUCCCCUACAAUCAUUGGAAAUUUAUUCUACCAUGAAAUUAAACCCCUAGCACUCCAAAAUGGUUCUUGACAACAAGAAAUUUGGGCUCAUCUCUCACCAAGGCUUGACAAGGCACAAUAUGGCAAUCCAAUCCCAAAAAUUCCAACUUUCUCGAAAAAACUAAAUAAAAAUCCACUGCUUGACGUAAUACUGGAUAUUGAAAGAUAACACUUCAACAAGAACAUCUACUGAAUAUCUUUCCAACAAGAAGCUGAAAACCCACGAUCAUAUAUUGCAUAAAAGCUAACAUCUUGUUGAAAUUCCUAACCACACCCAUCUUAGAAGCAACUAUACCAUAGCUGCAACUUUGCCCCCUGGUAGGCAUGAAUGCCAACCAUCAUUUGCUUUUCCUCUUUAAUUCUGAACCAUAUAAGUUCUAUAACUAGAUUCAAAACCAAUUUCUUCUGUGUUAAAACUGAAUGCCAACACCGCACUCUUUUAGUUCCCAAUUUAAAAUACCCAUUAACCAAUGCCUUUUACUGAUUAAUUCAACCAUAAAUCUCCAUAAAAUCAUUCAUUUCUUGGAUCUCUUGCACAUUGUUUUAUACUAGCUUUUCACCCCGAAUUUCCUUCACACUUAAACCAUAUUUUCACAAUGUUCUGCCAAUAAAAUACAUGCAAAGAUAACAGAAAAUACAUUGACUGAGUGGGAUAUAUAUACAUAACCACGUUGUAUGAGUCCAUUGUGUACAGAACCGGCAAUUGAAUCAAAUCAUUAACAGAUCACAUAAAAAGGAUAAUGUACAUAAUCUCAUCAGCAAUCAAUUAAGACGAAAUUGAAACCACAAUAAAACAAAGGUAGAAAAUCAUAGACUAAAAUCCCUUAAAAAUUAAUGGAUUAAUUUCAUUAAUUUCAGUUUACCUCAGCCAUUUGACGAGACGGGAUCGAUCGAAAAUGAUGUGAAAAUGAGACAGAGCACUUUCUUCUGGUCGGCGGGAGAGAGUGUUGGAAACUAAAAUUGUUCACGUUUUGUUUCAGUGAUUAGUAGUUGUAGAAUUAGCUUAGAUUAGUUUGCAACCCUUAAUAUUUUCUUAGUUUUUACUGUUCACCCUUCACCUUUUAGUUUUUGACACAUAGCCCCCAACUGUCUUACAAAAGCUCUGGUAAAAAUUUUUUUUUUUUUCCCAAAAUAAGAUUACAUAUACCUUACAACUGCAAGAUCAGUACAACAAAUUAGUUGUCAUUUAAUUUAGAGAAAUGCCAAACUAGAAAUAGAGCAAUCUCAUAAUUAACUUGUAUACAACUUAUACACUUAAUUUAAUUUAAUGGAAAAGGCAUUCUUCAUGCGUUUGUUCAAGAAAAGUAAAUCAUUAGGGAAAAGAGCAAAAAGAAAAUGAGAAGGCAAAGGUGAUUUAUGCAUUAUUCCUUGGUUGGCAGUUUUUUUUUUUUUUUAAGUCACAAGUAUAUAAGUAGAAUUUUCAAAACUAUGACAAACGGGUCAUAUUGAAUCUCUUGCUCCCAAUUUAUGCAUAGGAAAAUAGUUCUUGAAAUACAGUUAGCUCCAAAUAUAGUAGGGACUAAUGAGCGCUGAUUUUAAAUGUAAGGGAAUAAGUGGUUAAGAAAAAUUAAGACUACGCGUGGGUAAAAAUUGAAGAUAUAUUAGAAGUAUCAACCAAACGUGUUUAUUUUGCAUGUUGGAGAUACACAACUCUAGACUUUUUAGCCAAUUUCCUAAUGUGUGGAUUUUUUGGUAUGAAGUUAUAAGGAUGGGAAAAUUUGGAGAUUAGUUAUUGUUUUUGAUAAUUGAUGAACAACAAAAAGGUAAAAGAGUGAUAAACCACAUAAAUAUGAGGAAAUUAUAAUGGUAAACGCAAAAUUAGGAGGAAAACUUAUAAUUCAGCUUUCUCUGAUCAAUUAACUGUCUAUUUUAGGUAGCAUAUCUUUUAUUCUUGCUCCCACAAAAAAAAAAAUUUUUUGUUGUAGAAUAGCUCUAAUUCUCAUUACUUAAAUCUUGCCAAAUCCCUAUAACACAUAUAUUUAAAAUAUCAUACCUCUAUACUUUUUCUCAUAAGUUGUAAUGAUAUACCUCUUCGAGUAUUCCUAUCUUCCACAUGUUUAGGUGAAAUUUCUCUGAUAGGCUUCGGCUUUCCCCGUUUAAUAGGUCUCCAUAUUUAAGAGGAAGUUUGGGUUUUAUGUUGUUAGAAUUUCAAUUUUUGCUAUUCAUUCUCUUAAAAGAACUUAAAUAACCUAUUAACGAUAAUUUUUAAUGCUUUUAGUUUACAAGAAGAUGAUAGCUAACAAGUAGCAGCAUGUUCUUCAACUAAUGAUCAAAUUACGAGACAGUGAUACUUUAUUACAAGGUACUACUACAUAAGUAGAUGUGUUAUUGCUGUUUCUAAAAAUUGAUAUGGAGUUCAGGUUAGUGAAACCCUGUACGUCUGUCCACCGAUGCAAAAGUUCAAAGGUGUCUCUAAACCAGAGUUUUCUUUUGUACACUCUCUCUUUUUUCUUCUGAUCAAUAAAAGCAUGAAAGUUUACGUGUAAAAAAAAAGUUUUUAUUACAUGUCAAAUAUCUUUAUGAUGAGUAAACCCGACAUGCUUAUUUACUCAUCCCCAAACUACCAAUCCUAAAAUGUCUCAACCCCCGAAAAAUUGCAGUUGAAUUCGCAUCACCUAAAAAAUAGUAGACAGCCUCUUUCGUGCACGUUGACUGACUAAGUAAAAUGCUAAAAGAGAGAGAAAAGGAAGAAAUGUUCAACAGAGUCCAGUAAUAAUACUUCAUAAAACCACUUUCAUUGAUUUGUAAACCAUCUUGGAAAGACCAUUGUUGUUCCAUACUGCAUAUUUGCUCAUGGCUGAGAAUUCUGCUCCCCCAGAAGAAGUUGUAGUGCCUGUUCCAGAAGAAAAAAAUGAAGCCAAAGAAAAAGAAGUCGCAGUGACUAUUCCUGAAGCAAAAAAUGAAGCCGAAGAAAAAGAAGUUGCAGUGCUUAUUUCUGAAGCAAAAAAUGAAGCCAAAGAAAAAGAAGCUAAAGAAAUCCCUGAUGAUACUACCACCACUGCUGCUGCUGCCACUACUAAUACUAGUGUGGCAGCUAAAACAGAUAAAAUGAAGAUUAUUGUGCUUUCAUUAACCGUACUUUCAUUUCUUCUUUCCUUCCCAAUCCUCUUUUCAAUCGCUUGGUUGCUAUACUUGAGACAAUAUGACUGUGAAAACCUUCUUGACUUGCCAAAGUUACAACUUGUGAUUGUCAUUGGUCUAGCAAUUGUCUUCUUUGUGAGCAACUUUGUAGUGAAAUUUGGAAGCCGGUUUCCUAUGCUUGGACUUCUCUUAGUUGUGGUGCCACUGAUUUUGAUGCUGAUUGUUGGUCUUGGACUUGAGGGUGCUUUUGACAUGGAAGCUCGUACCAUACCCGGUACUCCUAGAUGGCUUGAGUUCAGGGUGGAUAAUGACUACAAUUGGAAGGAUAUCAAAUCCUGCUUGUAUGCUACAACGACAUGUAGAGAGUUGGCGUUAAGGUCUUAUACCACCAAAUCCUUUGACUUCACAGCAAGCAAAUUAUCAUCGAUUGAGGUACUAAGCUAAUAAAAAUGUCACAUGAAAUAGUAUACGUGUGCUUGAGUAGACAUUACAGACAAAGAAUUUUUUUGCUGGUCGAAUAUAUAUAUAGGUAUAUGUAAAAUAUAAAUCACUAGUUUUGCAUAUGGCAUAUCCUAAAAACAUGUUGAAUGCUAUUGGCUUAGUAUUGGCUUAGUAUUCUACAUUAGCAGAAUACUUCUUUUUCAAUGGUUCAUACACAUGUUAUUAGGCAGUGUUUGAUACUUUAAUUCAACCAACAACUUAAAAAAAAAAAAAAUUAUGAUCGAAUUUUUUUCAAUAAAUAGUGUGCUUAGUUUGAGUGAUUUGUGUUUUCUUUGGUCAUAUCACUUCUACAAUUGCACCUCUAUUUACAUUUUACAUUUACUCACUGGACUAUUUUUUACAUUGGCGCAAUUGUCUAGUCUGGUUGUUGUCUGCCGCCAACAAGCUGUGGAAUGGAAUACGUGAAUGCCACAUUCUGGAGGAAAGAAGAUUCAACACUGGAUUCGUCUAACCCAUUGGAAAGGGAUUGUGAUCUAUGGAAGAAUGAUGAAACCAUUUUGUGCUACAACUGCCAAGCCUGUAAAGAUGGAUUUCUCAAACCAUUACUUGGUAAAUGGCAGAACAUUGGGACCUUCCUCAUUGUCAUGGCUGCUCUGCUUUCAGCCUCGCAUCUGUUGCUUUUUAUUUCUACAAUGUUGGAGCAACUUCGAGGAUACCAUAAAAGCAAAUUAAUCGCACUUUCAUUUUAACUGACUAAGAGUUAUUAGAUGAGGUUUUGGAUUUGCAAGCUAUUUCAUCCUUUGUUCUUGACUUUGUUGUACGUCUUUUUCGUGUAUAAUCGGGAACAUCUUUGAUGCUAUGGUCAUCCUCUGACAAAAGCAGAAGUUACCAUUUUUUUCAUGCUAUCAAGCUCUUCUUUGAUUGUCAUAUGGGCAAAAGUAUGUUUUGGUUUAUAUACCACGAAUUUUUAAGGAGUAGUAAGUUGUCAUUUCUGGAACUCCAAAAUCUUGGUUUCAUCAGGCAAAUCACACUGACUAAUUAGGAGUGGUCAGUUAUAAAACCUCCACCAUUAGGUGCCAAUGCGACAAAUUUGUUUUAUCAUACACAAGCCAAUUAUCCUUAUUAAGCUUUACCAAAACCAAAACUCUCCACCUCCCAUCCUGAAUUCAUGCACGGUGCAGACUAGGAUGAAACAAGAUGCAAGGAAAACCACAGGAUUGAAGAGACUGCAUCUCUUCUGAGUAUUCAAUGACAUGAAUAUCAGCAUCCAUGGGCGUCUCUUGAUUGAUAAGCACUUUCUUCAAGGUGAUUAAUAUAUUCCUUGCUAUUUUCCAAUCCCAAACCUUAUUAUGCCCCAACCUAACUCCAAGAGAGGGAGACCAAGCGGGAGAAUAGAAGGGAGGAGACAUAAGUCAAAAUAAACUACACAAACAUAUCUGGACUGCAAAAGGACAAUAAAAGAGGAAAGCUAUAUUAUACAGAAGCUAACAACAUGCUACAAUUCUUGUAGUAAAAUUUGGCUAAAGCCAUGAAACAGGUUACGAUAACUUACAAGGAAUUCUCAGAGCUAACGAGUACAAGCCUACAAGCUAGUAUUUGGUAAAUCAUCAACACAAGAUUCUACUAAGUUGCAUACGAAGGGACCCCAGGAUCCAGUUUUGGCUGAUACAUUCACCUCCGAGCAUGCGAGGCAUCAUAUGUUCCCGUCCAUGAAGGAUUCCCAGCAGCACCAGUAACAGCUCCUGCUACAGCUCCAACUCCAUCAGGAGCACCUGCAGUGAUGGAACCACCAUACGGGAUCAUUCCCGGGGAUAUAGGCCCAGCACCCAUCGGAACAGCAGGUCUUCCAUAAUUAUCAACAUAUCCACCACUACCAUGUACAGCAGGUGGGUAGAAUGUAUGUGGAUUGAUGUUGGGUCCACCAUACGUGUAGGGAGCUACACAGACAGCAAGCAUUAUUGCCUAAAGGGAUCACAUUGGAACUUGAGAAAAUAAUAACUUGAGAGGAUUUCAAAAAACAAACUUGCUACCAUGUGCUCUCUUCUCGACACUGAACACCUCGGCACGCAAUCUUUCCAGUUCUCCAUGCAUGCCCACCAUUUCCUUCUCCAUGAUUCGCAUUUUUUCCACUUUUGCUAUGUUUAAACCUUUUUCGUACUCAAAUGUCAUUCUUUUGCCCCAAAAGAAAGAAAUUUGAAUUAAAUGCUUGCACUAAUAUCAGUUAAUGGGUGAUACCGACCAGAAUAAGAAAGCCCAAUAUGUAGUAAUCAGAAGCAACAUUACUUUCCUGUUCACCAGAAAAUUAUUUAUAAAACACACACAUAUCAAGCGCAAAGCAACAGUUUCCAAAUCUAAAAAGAGAUGCAGGGUGAAAAGCACAAGUGAUUGUUUCCACACUUUUCCUGUUACUAACAAGGAUAAAUCACGUUUCGAACUGAAAUUAAGCUUUACCACAAAACAUAGCAUCAAGGAUUUCUUAGUCCAUAACACGUAAAGAAAAGCUCAGAAGUGAAUGUUUCAUCUCAUCAAAAAGAUGAUAUUAAAACAAUAUGAACAGUUGACUCCACUCACCGUAACCUUUGAUGUUCUUUCCUUAAACUAUCGAGUUCAGUAUUCAUUUCCGGUAAUUUUUUGACAUCAGCACGGGCUUUCUCCAGCUCCUGACUGGCCUUUUGUAUUUGAGCAGUCAGCUCUUUUCUAGCUAAUGCCAGGCUCCGUGCCUCAGAAUGUGCUUGCUGCAAGUCCUUCUUUACACUCUCACCAGCUCUGAUGUCAACUUCCAUUUUUGCUAUCUUUUCCAAUAAUACACGAAUCUGGAUAUCACUCUCAGUCUGCAUGCUUCUAAUAUGAUCUGCAAGCUUCUGCAUUUCUUGCUGAGCAGCAACAAGAUCCUGCCUCAAAGCCCCAUGGGAGGCUGCCAACCUAUGAUUAUCCACAGCAAGCUGCUCAAUUUCCGCUGCCUGAACAGCCAAUCUACUAUCUAAAAGCUCAGGAGGAGGAAGUGGUUCCAUCGGACGAUGGCCAGCAGGCAAUGCACCAUGAUGAAUGAAAGCAGGACCUGGUACAGAACGUCCUUCAUGUGCUGAUGGUAUGUGUUUUCUCGAAGUCAUUGGAUUAAAAAAAAGCCUCCUCAAGUAAGGGAGGCAAAGUAUAACUUUCUCCCCGAGACUAUGUAGGAUAAAUUACCUGCAAUAUCUUUAGAAGAUGAACAAUAAGAAAAAGUAAGAAUCUCUUCCAGGUUCCAUCUAGAGAGAGAAACACUUAAAGAUGUACCCAAAAAGCAAGAAGCAGAUACAGGAGAGUACAAAUUAUUCAGCUAUUCGAACAUGCAUCAUAGGACAAAGUGCACUUGAACUCAUGGAGAAUAAUUUGGAAUUCAUAUUUUAGUACACAAAUUGAAGUAUUGAAUAAAAACUUUAAAUAAAAUCAACAACAACAACUAAAGAAAUUAAACUACCAUUGGCCAAUAUCUCAUCUAUUAGGUCAACAUCAGACAAACAAGCAUCAUUUACUGGGAUUAGGCAAAAGAACGUUGUAGUGCCAACUAUAAUCAUAAAUCAGAGUCAAAUCAUUCUGAUUGUAUAGAAAAUUUUCCUACCAAAGUAACCAAGCCAGAUGCCUUUUUCUUCCACGAUAAGCUGACCAGACAAGAAAGCAGAUCCGUAAUCAUUUUCAAACUCAGAAAUCACACAAAAAUUCUUCCUUCUGUGUCCUAGUACAGUUAAGGCCUGGGAUUCCUGAGCAUACUUUCAGAGACAACCAUUUUGGAACAACUAUGUAGUCUCUUUUUUGGGUGGAGAAUCAAGCCAUUUAAAGAAUCACCCCAACAAAUCAGCAUUUUCCCCACUGAGAAGUUGUUCGGUGAUACUGUUAAUUUAACAAUUAGAAUUCCAAGUUCUUUCCUGAGAAUCAAUAAUUAGCAUGGUCAAAACUCCAUUAUCUAGUAUUUGUCCUAUUACAUGACAAGAAGUCCACCUAAAUGAGCAUAAGGAUCUAGGCAUUGAGCUCAGGAUCUAGGCAUUGAGCAUUCUCCACCCUCAUCGAAGUUCAUAAUAAUCAAGAAGUUACCAUCACCAUUAUUGCAUGAUGAUAUAGUGUCUAUGGAAAUUUUUGCAUUGUAGAAGUAACAAAGAAACGUUAAAGAAAAUCACAAACUCUCUCUUUCAACGACUAUUAAUCAUCAUUUGUCACAAGAUAGCAAGUAGCACAUUAAAGCAUGCCUCAAGCGUCAUUAACAUGUUAAUAUUCAGAAAGUUUUAAUAUGUUGAUUAUAUGUUCAACACAUGCAGUGUAAAGAUCCAUAUCCUACAAUGAACCAGAAUUUAAACGUACCAUUUAUAAAAGUUGCCACGUUUCACACAUCGGCAUCUAUGAAGCCUAGUUGCCAUGCUUCACACACUGCCAUCCUGCUUUUAGCACACGAUUCUACAUUACCACAAUUUCUUAUUACCUAGACUUCUCAAUGGCACUUCCUAAAGAUAGUCAAAAUAUUUAAGAUCGAACUUCGCUCAUAUUUCCCCGUAAUCUGAAUUUGUAUCAUGCUUCCCAAUAACCUAAAAGCAACCCAAAAAACGUUUCAAAAAAAUCAUAACUUUAUCCACAGUGUCCUGCUUUUCACGAAAUUAUGCAUCACCAGUAUUCCCUAAAUUUUUUUCCAAGAGCCCAGUGAAAAAGCUUAACAUUGAAGAUACCUCAUACUUUCCUAUAAUCUAAGAACAACAGAAAAUAAUAAUACAACAAAAAACAAAACAAAAAAAUGAAAAAAUGAAAAAAAAAGGAUCAAAACUGUAUGUUUCUUGUGCUCCUCCUCUAAUUUCAAACCAAAGCCACAAUUGCAAAUGAUCAAGAUAUGCCUAUUUCACAGAAGGAUGCAGCAAAAAGCUGCUGUCUCUCCUGAGCAGUACUCCUUCCGCAUGCAUAACCAAUCAAUGAUUAAUGCAACACAAACCCACGUAAAAAUCUCCUGUUAAGGCUAAAAUCAAGUGUCCCUUUUCCUUUUGCCAUUAGAAUGACAAUUUUACGCUAAAGAAACAAGAAUUGAACCCUGAACCAUGAAAAUUUUUUUCAAGACAAAUUUUGGUUUCUUUAAGCAAAUCGAAACAAGCCCAGAUAAAGAAAACUGAAAGUAAGUAAUUACCUGUUCUCAAGACUGAUAAAUCGGAGAAGUCUGUAUUUCUACAUAAAUGAGGUUCAAUAUUGUGAAGAAGACAGGACUCCUCUUCUAAGAAGAGAUUUUGUAAUUGCGCUUCCGGUUCUAGGCAUUCAUCAUUGGUGUUAUUAGCCUUUAUCCCCCCGGCAAGGGACAACUUGAUUUGAAAUUUCUAAUAAUCAUUUGAGAUAUUUGAUGGGAUCUAUAUACAAAGAGAAUUUCUUUUAGGGAUAACUUCAGAAACCUCAAGGGAGGUUUCUGACAAUUUCACUAAGCUCCUCUAAAGUUUGAAAAAUAAUACUUACCUUCCUUGAUUUGAUAGUUUUAGUAACAAAAUCUUAAAAUAAUAUUGACUUGGACAAUUUUUUAAAUGAAUACUCAAAAAUGCUCUUGUGGAAUGAGUUUUAAUUACUUCUCUACACAAUUAUGAGAUUAUUUAGUAUAAUUAUAAGGAAAAGGUGCCAAAUUUUUCAUGUCUAUAUUUACUAUUUGAUAAACAACUAUAAUAUAAUUUUAUUACUAUGAUAUGAUAUUUUUUAUGGCAUUUUAUUAUGAAUUUAAAUUUAUAAGAUAGAAAAGAAAAUGUUUAAAUAAUUCAUUUGGAGUUUAUAAAUUUUUGGAGUAGUGGUAUUAUCAUAAUUUAGUAGUACUUUUGGGCCAUUUCUUUUUGAUUUAUUGUUAAUUUUAAUACUAAAAACUAGAAAACGAAGAUCAGCAAAAACAUUGGAUUACAUAUAAAAUUACCUCGUCAAAAAAAUCACUAGUUCGACAUUUGGUUAUAGUAGAAACUUAGAGGCAUUAGUGGUAGUUCUACAAUUUUAUUGGCAAAAAAUUUUUAAAAAAAGGAAUAAAAAGGAAAAAGAAUGAAAAAAUAAUUUUAAAACUCAUUCUAAGUAUAAGCAUACCAAAUAAGAGAAUUUCUUUAAAAUAUUUAAGGGUAAAAUUGUCAUUUUAAAUGACAAAAAUGACAAGGGAGGUAUGUGUAAUUUUUCGAACCUUAGGGGAGCUCAGUGACAUUGUUAGAAACCUCAGGGGAGGUUUCUGAAAUUAUCCCUUUCUUUUACCAUGUACAAGUUAUUUUUCUCUUUCUUUCUUUCUUUUUUUUUUGGUUUUUUGGAGAGUCGAGUUGGUCGCUAGAAAAUUCACAAAAUAGUAUCAUCUCAAAAGCAUCAUGUAAAUUCAAAGUUUCUCUUCAAACUUUGUGGUUCAACCAAAUUAGUACAUUUUACAUGUGAAUUAUAUUAAUCAAACUUUCCGCAAAAUUAGGUAUUGACGAUUCAAGUGCCAAUCUCAGCAUAAUGAAGCAUGAACCAUACUAAACGCGCCAUUGUUAUUAACACAAAUUACUCUUGUCAUUCAACCACAGUUGUGCUCUUAUCAUGCUAGAAGUCUACUAAAUGACAUUUUCCAGCUCACUUCUACAUAAGAGCCAACCUCGUUUCUACGAAUGAUCAUGUUCGAUAAGGAUCAUUUCGAAAAGAUCCUGGUCUGACAAAGCCUUCCUGAGAUGAUUCAUUAUCAAUAUUUAUCAUUCAAUGAUGGAUGGCAAAUUGUUUUACUGGCUUACGUUGACCAAGAAACAACAAUUUUUGUCAUCUUUUGUAUAAAUCUUGUAAGUUCAUUUGUAUUGCAUCUGCACAUUAGUUGCUGACAAGAUACUUCAAAAAAAUUUGGUCAUUAUAUAGUUUAAUAAAUUUUGUACAAAGUGUGCCCACCCACAUGCAUGCUUGAAGCUUAUAUACAACAAAAUGUACUCCGACGUCAGUCUUCAUAUGGUCUAACUUUUUCGUAGAAUCUGCAAAAUUGCAAAUAUGGGUUUUGAAGAUCAAAAGCCUCUUAUUGUCAUGGUUAUGUUAGUUUCUCUAUGCAGGAAUCACUUCAUCACUAGAGCUUCCUUGUUACAGGGAACGAGUCCAAGGGUUUUCGCGGUCAGCUAUCUAUAGCCACUUUGCUUGUGGCCCUUGUGGCUCAUUUUAAACAGAGGCGUAUUUAUAGGAAUUUUAAAUCCUUUCUCCUCGUCUCAGAAUGUGAAACAUAAAUUAUGUACUGGAUCAAUUACACGAAAACCUAUAGCCUCUUUGGCUGUUGGGUGGUCAAGUUUCGACCCUUGUCUCCCAACACUUGUUACUAAUAAGUGGUUUCUACAAAUUCAAACGGGUGUGUAGUGCACCCGUCUGAUUCGAUAGUGGUUCAGUCCCCCUUGAUUCCCCCUAAUCUAGCUAGACCCUCCCUUAGAUAGGUUAUAGUGUAGGAGCAAGAGCAGUGUAGAAAGUGAUGAUUGACCCAAAAAAAAAAAAUUUACACAAAUAUAUAUAAAUUUUUUUUGGUUGGGGUUGCCCGGAGUAAAAUAAGCAGAUAUUCUUUAGGAUGGAAGAGGUUGAUAUUUUAAGGACAAAUUCCACUUUGCACCUUUGAACUUAUAUCACUUUCUCACUUUGUACUCUAAACUUCAAUUUUGAACACUUUACACCCUAAACUCUCAAUUUGAGACACUUUACAUGCUAAAUUCUUAAGUUCGUCCUAUUUAAAUCUAGUUAAUAACAACUUUUAAAAAAUUAACUGUAUAGAAGAUCUAACAAAUCAAUGAUAAUGUGCCAAAAGUAAUCAAAAGGUGCCAUGGUAUUAUAGCAAAAAUAAAACAAUACAUUAUCAUUAAUUUGUUUUUAUUUUUUUCAUUAUCAUUGAUUUGUAUCAUCUUUUACCUCAUUAAUUUGCUAAUAAUAUUAAUAAUUGAGAUCAUAUAAAUAAAUGAUAAUGUGCUGAACAUGAGCAACAAAGCUAAGGAAUCGUAGUCGAAACAAAACAGUACAUUGUUGUUAAUUUUUAUCGCUCUUUAUCUCAUUAAUUUUGCGAAUAUAAUAAUUGAUUGGACUUAAACCGAACAACUAUGAGAGUUUAGGGUGAAAAGUGUCCAAAAUUAAAAUUUAGGGCGCAAAGUGAGAAAGUGAUACAAGUUCAGAGGUGUAAAAUCAAAUUAAUCUUAUUUUAAAUAUCGCUCAUUUUGUAAGUUAUUCUCUUUUGAGUAUCUGUGUGUAUGUGGAAGCUAAACUAAUGUUGAUUAUCCAAUUGAUUAAGUUUUUCCUCUAUACAUUCCUUGUGCAGAGUAACAUUUAACAAGAAUCUCAAUUUUAAGGGCCUAUAUAUAUAUUUGGCCUCAUCUUCAAUAGCAAGUGCAAUGGUCAAUUUACUUCCUGCAACUACUUGUGCGGCGGCCUACAUUGUCGGGUAACUAUCAAGGAGAUUAAUGCAAAUUCAAAGAGGGCUGAGUUUACAUUCAUCAUGAAAAAGUAAAUGAUUCUAUAUACAAUGGAUGAUCUCAUCCCUUUUACUUUUGAUUGCAUAAUUAUUAUGUUAUCUCAAAGCAACAGAAAUCUAUUAGCACAGUAACUUUUAUAAAUUCUUUUGAACUCUUUUUGUCUAUAAUUAUUUCUUAAAUUUCACUCGAAUACCGUACCUUAACAUAUGUCAAUUACUGAUUAGAGAAAGUGAACAUCCAAAGCUUCAGGAGUAUAGCCAAGAUCAUCGGAACAAUCAGCUCUGUUGCUGGAGCCAUAAGCAUGCCAUUACUAAAAGGGCCAAGAACUCUAAGCAUGGAGCUUCAGCUAAUGCAUUCGUUAUUCAAAAAGGGAGAUGAGAUAUGGUUGCUUGGUUGUUUCAUCCCCUUAGCAGGCACAAUUUGCCGGUCAACUUGGCAACUUUUGCAGGUGAAACCACCCGAUAUUUCCCUAUUGGAAUCACACAAUUUGAGAAUCAGUUAACAGCAUAUCCAUAUUUGUGUUGCAUUUUCUCAACAGGUGCCGGUUGUCCAAGAGCUAUCCCGAUCAUUUACCUGUAACAGCAUGCAAGGAUGUGCUUCAUGGUUGCCUUGCAAUCUGCAGCUGUCACGUUUUUUACUGAGAAAGAUUUCACAAGCUUGGAAAUUGCACUCACAUUUGGAAAUUGGAUGCCCUUUAUAUAGUGUAAGUUUUGUACUUUAAUUUGAUGGUUUCCAUUUUACAACCAUUUUGUAUCGAAGAUAAAUUUGAAAGAGUUCAUCAAUAUUAUACCUGGCUGGAGCACCAGCUCAAUCUUGGUGCAUUUCGAAACGAGGUCCAAUUUUCUGUGCCAUGCCAUGUUUAAUCCCGUAAACAACGUAACUAUCACCAUGUUCGCUUGUACGUUCAUCCACAAAGAGAUUUACUUAGGAAGGUAUUACCUGCAUUGCAAAAAUUGAUUAAUACCUUUUAUUCCUUAAGACUCCAGUGUUCCGAUUUCUUUAUUCUUUGGAUGAUAAAUAAUUGGGAAAAUGAUCGGUUUCAUCCUUCACAUUUCACAAAAAUAUUCUUUUCGUCCCUCACUUUUAAAACGAAACAAUUUCAUCCUUGACAUUUAAAAACUGAAGUUCUUACGUCCCUGAACCCAAAUUUCAAUCUGAAUCAAACCACCAAUCAAUCUGAUUACAAAUUUUGGGAGUGUAAUUGGUAGAUCAUUUGGUUAACUCAACUUGAUAUUCAUGUAAAAUUUAAUGAAUCAAAAAAGAAAAAAAGAAAAAAUUAUAACAUAAAAAAGAAAGAUUAAUCUUUCCUACAUUAUCAUUGUAUACACUGACGGUUUUAUGUACCGUCGUAUCAUUUCAAUUUAAAUUUAAACACCAAAUUUUAUAUUUAUGAUACACAUCUAGAUUCGCAAGCAGAUAUAUUAACGGUGUAUGAAAAGAUUUACCCAAAAAAAAAAUCCCACUAUACCAAGACAAAGAAUGGCCUUUUAUGUUAUAAUUUUUAUUUUUUUGGUUUAAUAAAUGUCAUGUGAAUAUGAUGAAAUUGACCGAGUGAUCUAUCAAUUCUAUUUUCGAAAUUUAUUACUGGGCUAUUGAAUGAUUUGAUUCAGAUUGAAAAUUAGGUUCAGAGAUGUAAUAGUUUUAAUUUUUAAAUGUCAGAGAUCAAUUUGCUUUAUUUUAAAAGUGAGAAUAUUUUUGCGAAAUGUGAAAGAUGAAACAGGCCAUUUUCCCUAAAUAAUUUAUAUAUUUACUCAUAUUGAAUUUUGAAGCCCUUUAAAUUGAUAACUUAUCGGUUCCAUCGGCCUCGAGGAAUUUAUGGCCUCGUUUUCAUGUACCAAAGAAAUAUCUAAAACUAGCUUAUUUUCUAAUCUAAGACGCAACUUUACCACAAUAAGCUAGAAUUUCAUAAUUACGUAUUACUUUUCCAAACAGCUCUUGGAAAAUAUCUUAUACCGAUUUGCCCAAAAUAUCAGUUCCUAGUUUCAUCUGCUGACCAAGUUGAAUUUGAGUUGAAAAAUACUAAGUUUGUUAGCUUGCGAGUCGAUUCGAACUCGAAUAUAUACAUAUAUAUAUAUAUUAUUUUUUAUUUUAAUAAUAAAAUUACAUAUAUAUAUCCCUAACAUUUUAUUAUUUAUUAAAAAAAUUAUUAUUUUAUUUAUUUAUUAAAAAUAAAAUAUUUAUUUUUUAUUUUUUCAAACUCGAACUCGAAUUUGAGUUUCAUAACAUUAUGUUGAGACUCGACUUGAUUAAGUCGAAGUUCGACUCGACCAGUCACCCCUAACUUGGCCUAUACAGUAUGGAGGGAAAGGAAUCUUAGAACAUUUCAAUUGAUUCUUUAUGAAAUUCUUGAGAUAUGUUCGUCAUGCCAAUAGCUGGAUGCCUGGAUGGAGGAAAAUUCCAAGGACUCGAGAGAAUUGGGAGCUGACUUUACAUUGGAACUUUUCAAUGCAAAUUUUCUGUAGAUUGUAUAGAAUAUAGUGAUUGUGAUCAGUUUUAUUUUCUUUGCUUAGUUGUAUAGAUUCCAGUACUAUGUGGUGACUCUGCAAGUGUCUAUAUUUAACUUUUAUUUUUGUUUGCAUAUUCCUCAAAGCUAAGUAAGUACUAAAUGAUUUGUUUUGAGAUGAAACAGUAGAAGGGGAUAGUUGAAAGUCACAUUACACCAACAAUAGCACUAACAAAAUUGAGCUACUCUACCAUUCAGUCUAGCCAGCUUUUGAAAUUAAAAAAAAAAAAAUGUCAUCAUAAGAAAGGCCAAAUAUAUUGACGGGUAGGGAACAUUCAAUUGACUCUUGGGUGAUGGUAAUUACUUAUUUCCAUCAGCCCUUCGGGUUCGGUUCCAUGGUUGUAGUCCCAGUUGGGGAAGAGCCACGUCCAGGGAUCGAAUCCCCGCACUACCGUGGCUGGUGAUGCUUGGGGCAGGCCUCUCCCAGCUCACAGUGGGAUUAGUUGGGUCGUACGGUAACCAGUUCACGGGCCCAGAUAUCCACUGUCGAUUAAAAGAAAAAAAUUUCUUAUUUCCAUCAAAAAGCAAAGCUUACAUGUACGAGCCCUACCAACAAACCCCACCAACAAUGGUAGGUAUGGAGAGGAAUGAACGACCAAAACCCAGAGAUGAUGGGUCUUUACUCUUUACAGCUUUUCAUUGUUGGUCCUGCAAAUAAUUGGAGAGACAGAAAGGGACGUCGACUUCCAUUAACUCAAAGGGAUAAUUUGAAAUCUGACCCCAGUGUCCGGCGGGCUAUUGCAAAGUCUGGUGGUGAAAGAAGAAAAAAAUAAUCCUUCACCACACAAUUGGGGAUACAAUCAAUAAGAUGAGAUAGAGGCAAAUGAAUGCUUAAUCAGACUCAGAAACCCGAGGACAAGUGUGAUGCAUCCUAAUCGACCUGACAACCUCAAUUGAUAAUAUUUCUGCCACAUGGUAGAACUUUUGGAGUGAUCUGGAUUUUGGUCAAAUUGAAUUUAGCAUCUAAAUCACAAUAGCGUAGACAAUUAACAAACUGCAUAGGACUCAAACUGGAGCCCGCCACAAAAGAAAUCAAAGCUUUAAGCAAAGAGAGGAAUAAGGGCAUAUCUAAAUCAAUGAUUGUUGGCCACUAUAAAAAAACAGUGAGGAGCAACUUACCCUUUUUUUGCAGGUAAUCAAGCAGAAAAAUUUUUUAUUUCUUAAUUAGAAGAAAAGCACCAGAAAACGUGGCAUUAAGAACAGGAAGUCUUUCCUGCAUUAAAGAGAGAAAGAAUGGACAAAAAUCCGACAAAUUUUGAAGGCCAAAACUUUAGAGAUCAAACUCAAGUACGCAGAGCAGAACCUGUUCAGAAGCAGAUCUGAAAAUGGCAGGGAAAUCUGCCAAUGUUUUUGUCAAAGACUGAAAAGUCUAUAUAGAAACUAAGCAUUAACGUAGGAAAUCAAUCAUCCAACAUGGUCUGAAUGAGCAAAAUCAAGCUAUACAUAGAAGCAACUAACAAAUAGGUAGGAAGUUGUAUUGCAUACAUUAUUAGAAAACCAGUUUCAAUCCAAACUCUAAUAUCUACUCAGAUAUGAGCUUGAUCGCUCAAGGGUAGCGCUUCCAUGCAUUAUCCUCCCUGUUGUUUCUGAAUGCGCAGCAUCCUAUAGAGUAUACUAUGAUGAGGAAGACCAGCACUAUAAUAUUCAGAAUGGCCUCCUUCUUCCAAUCACUCUUGAUAUUGUCCAGCAGACCAGCCUUGCAUGAUUGGCAGUUGUAGCAUAGAACUUUCUGAUCAUUACUCCAAGCCGUGCAGUCUGGAUUAGUAGACCCUGCUGUUCCUGUCCAGUUGGUUGGGGUGACAUAGGUGAAUUUGCACUCAUCUGGUGGCUUGCAGCAUCCAGACUGGCAAGAGUAAAUGAACAGAGAAUGAGAGAGACAACAUAAAAACGAUUUAACUGCAAAUGAACUAAUUUCAAUCUAGUCAUAUAUCUGUGAAGAACCUUUCCAAGACAUCGAGUUUAGGCACAGAAGCUGAAAAUUUUACAGAUUCUUUCACAGAAAUUUGAGGCGUGCAACUAGUACAUCAACCAGGAGACGAUUCUCAAAAUCACAAAAGGAACAUCUUAGUUUAUAACAACCUAGCAGUUCAACAAUGUGUCAAAUGUAUUAAA
rnacentral:lncRNA from 1 species